UAGUGAUGUACUGUAUCUGCUUCUUCUAAGCUAACAACAGUUUGUCUAGCUUUUCAUUCAGGACCUUGAUAUCCUUCCUCUGUCUAUCUUCAGAUUCUCCAGUUCCUCUCACUGAGCGAUCAUAGUCUUCAUUGUAGCACCCAUCAGAUUGUGUUAGAUUUUCGACUAACUCCCAUCCUUCUACUACAUCCUUGUUCAAGAAG
rnacentral:sRNA from 1 species